rnacentral:antisense_RNA from 1 species
GAAGCUCAGCACGCUGCCGAAAUCUCGGCAGUAUUUUUUCUUUUCUUUUUGCAUGUGAGAGAAAGGACAACAAAUUGCAGUUUUAUCCAUUUGUAUUAUUUCUUUAGAAAACUCAACACUCUUUUUGUUGGAGGUGGGGAAAUGAGAAGGUGAUGUUUUGUUUUGCUUUUUUUCCUAUUUUUUUUUUUUAAAGGAGGAGAAGAUGACAGUGUUCUCCCUAAGGAUGAAGUUUGACUUUUGAAACAUAUCACAUGCUUAAAGCACGUUUGAGCUCCUGCAUGAACAGUAAGCUAGCAGAUGGUAGAAAUAUUCUUUAUUAAUUCAAAAAAUAUUUACUGCGGACCUACAAUGUGCCAAGCAUGUCUCCUGACACUGGGGAUAAGCAGUGAACAACAACAAAAAGACAAACUUCUUCCACCCUGAGGCGUAUGUUCUAGGUCUUUGUGGGAAGAAACAAAUCACAAAAGCAAUUAAGAGAGCUCAAACAAUGGGGUUUAUGCCAGUUACAUACAAGGAUCCUGCAUAUUUCAGGGACCCUAAAGUUUAUAACAUCAGAUAACGGGAAUAAAUUCCAUCACAUUACCACCAGUAAACUUAUUUUAUAAGAUGGGUCUCACUGUGUUGCCCAGGCUGGUCUCUAACUCCU